rnacentral:rRNA from 1 species
GACGAACGCUGGCGGCGUGCUUAACACAUGCAAGUCGAACGGUGAAGCGGAGCUUGCUCUGCGGAUCAGUGGCGAACGGGUGAGUAACACGUGAGCAACCUACCCUUGACUCUGGGAUAACAGUUGGAAACAGCUGCUAAUACCGGAUAUGACCCUGGUGGACAUCCACUGGGGUGGAAAGCUCCGACGGUCAAGGAUGGGCUCGCGGCCUAUCAGCUUGUUGGUGAGGUAACGACUCACCAAGGCGUCGACGGGUAGCCGGCAUGAGAGGGGGACCGGCCACACUGGGACUGAGAGACGGCCCAGACUCCUACGGGAGGCAGCAGUGGGGAAUAUUGCACAAUGGGCGAAAGCCUGAUGCAGCAACGCCGCGUGCGGGAUGACGGCCUUCGGGUUGUAAACCGCUUUCAGCAGGGACGAAGGGUUUCUGACGGUACCUGCAGAAGAAGCACCGGCUAACUACGUGCCAGCAGCCGCAGUAA